CAAUAGUGUAUAUUAAAGUUGUUGCAGUUAAAAAGCUCGUAGUUGAAUGUUGGUGUCGAACGAGCGGUCAGCUUCGGCUGUACUGCUCUCUCGACUCCUUCCUUCUGUGGACUACGUCGCACUUUACUGUGUGGCGCUAGGACGCAGAUCGUUUACUGUGAAAAAAUUAGAGUGUUCAAAGCAGGCCGUACGCUUGAAUACAUUAGCAUGGAAUAAUGGAAUAGGACGUCGGGCCUAUUUUGUUGGUUCUAGGACCGUCGUAAUGAUUAAUAGGGACAGUUGGGGCCGUUUAUAUUCCGUAGUCAGAGGUGAAAUUCUUGGAUUUACGGAAGAUAAACUACUGCGAAAGCAUUCGGCAAGGAUGUUUUCGUUA
rnacentral:rRNA from 1 species